CUCUCGUCUCUCUUUGAACUUGUUCAAAAUCCGGUGAUGAAGAAGUUGCUUCAGCCGACGCUACUGGAAUCAAAGAUGAUAGCGUUGCUAGCAGUUUCAGUGUCGCGCAAUGUCAACGAUCCAUGUUGUUGCUGCGAACUAUAGCGUCAUGAUCUGGUGGCGACCUGCAACAUCAACAUUCAUCUGUGGCGAUCGUGGAUUUUGUGUGGUGUGGUGACGGUGUUUGUGUGGUGGCGGUGUGGCGGUUGUGUCUAUGGUGAUUCAGAGGGGUGGUUGUGGUUUGUUUGAAGUGUUGCGGUGGGUUGUUUGAGUGUUGCGAUAGUGUCUAAUCUGGCUGUCGGGGUGGCUGUGGUGGUGUAUGAGCUUUGCCAGAGGCUUGCAGAUCGCGAUGGCCCAGCUGCAGCGGCGGUAAUCGCGGUGUUGAUGUUUUUUUCUCUUUUAAGGUUGACGGCAUAGAUCGUGGCGUGAUGGAGCAGAUCGUGGCUAUAGCGGUGUAGAUCGUGGUGUUGAUUUUUUUUCUUGGUUGUUGGAUGCGGUGGCGGCAUGGUGUUGGUGGCGGCAGCGUAGACAUCAAUCGGGUGGAUCAAUAGUGUCUGGGACCAGUAAAUUGCUUGACUCGAUUGUGGUGGUGAAUGCGGUGGUUGUGGAAAUGGGUGACGUUAGUGGUGCUGGCUGUGGCGCUUGCGGUGGCGAUUUAAGGGAAUGGGUGGAUACAGUUUGGGGUGGUUUUUGCUGACUGCGGUGGCAGGGAUGGUGGUGAUGUUGAAAAUUGUGACUGUGGCUCCCAAUUGUGACUUACAAUUAAUUAAGUUGUGAUCGAAAAAUUAAUCGUGACCAAUUAAUUCAAUAAUUUGCAAUGAGUAAAUGAAUUGUGACCAAUAAAAGUUUUGAAUAUGUGAUCGAUGAAUA
rnacentral:lncRNA from 1 species